rnacentral:rRNA from 1 species
UACGAAGGGGGCUAGCGUUGCUCGGAAUGACUGGGCGUAAAGGGCGCGUAGGCGGUUUGGACAGUCAGAUGUGAAAUUCCUGGGCUCAACCUGGGGGCUGCAUUUGAUACGUUCGGACUAGAGUGGGGAAGAGGGUCGUGGAAUUCCCAGUGUAGAGGUGAAAUUCGGUAGAUAUUGGGAAGAACACCGGUGGCGAAGGCGGCGACCUGGUCCUUGACUGACGCUGAGGCGCGAAAGGCGUGGGGAGCAAACAGG